UUAGAGUAAAUUAUAAAAUGUACUUAUAUAAUUGAACAUAAAAGAAUCAACUUUUAAGGCUGAAUUGUUUAGUUUCGACAGUAAAAAGUACUGUGAAGGAAAGGUGAAAAUUAAUCAACAUAAGAAGUGAAAAUUAUUGAAACUUAAUGUAAAUACUGUUAAAGCGUAAGUGAUAACGUACCUUUUGUAUAAUGGACUAAUAAGUUAAUAUAUAUUGCAAGUUUAACCAUUGGGGAGACGUAUGUAAUUAAAAAAAAAGUAAUAUGUAUUAGACCCGAAGCUAAUCGAUCUAAUUAUGGACAGGUUGAUGUAUAUCUGAGGACCGAACCCGUAACUGUUGCAUAAGUUUGGGAUGAUCUGUAAUUAGGGGUGAAAGGCCAAUCAAGAUUAGUGAUAGCUGGUUCUCCACGAAAAUUAUAUGAGUAAUAAGCUUAUGAUAAUUUACUUAGGGUAAAGUAAUCUUUGAAUAUAGUGGUAGAAUAUCUGACUAAAUUUUUAGAAACUUAAAAUAUAGGUAAAUAAUUAUAAGUAUUCAGACAUAUUCGCGCUAAGGUGAUAUGUCGAGAGGGAAACAGCCCAGACCACAUGAUAAGGUGCCUAAUAAUAACUAAGUUAAAAGGUGUAGUUAUAAUAUGUUAAUUAGGGGAUAGGAUUGGAAGCAGCCACUCAUUAGUGAAAGCGUAAAAGCUCACUAAAUUAAUUUAAUAUAUCAAUUUAAUAUACUUAAUUAUAAUUACUGCGAUAAUGUAUAGGCGUUAAAGUUAUUAACCGAAGCAGUGGAAAUUUUUAUAAAUUUGGUAGUGGAGUUUGCUGUAUUUUGUUGAAGAUUAAUUGUGAAAUUAGUUGGAGAAAUCAGUUUAAAUAAUAUUAGUAGGAGUAACGUAAAAUAAUGAACAAAAAUCAUUAUCACCGUAAAUUCUAGAAUUUCGCUAAGAAAGGAAAACUUGAGUGCUACAUUCGUUCUCUAAAAAAAAGAUUAAAAUCGUAAGUUUAAUGAGCAGACCGCUAAUUUGACUUUAAAACUAGGAUUAUGAUGCGCUAUUUAUGUGUUAUAAUUUUAUUUUUAAACUAGAAAAAUAUUAGCGGCUCUUGAUGAAAAUUAAGAUGAAUCCAUAGAACGUAUUAAAUCUGACACAAGUGAAUAGGUAGAAUAUACUAAGGUGAUAGAAGAAUAUAGUUGAAGGAACUCGGCAAAAUGACUCUGUAACUUCGGGAUAAGGAGGACUCUAUUCUAAAUAGAGUAUCUAAAAAUAGGGGGCGGCGACUGUCUACCAAAAACACAGGACUUUGCUAAAUUUAAAAUGAUGUACUAGGUCUGACACCUGCCCAGUGCUUUAGUGUAAAAAAUUAUGGGUAAAGCUUGUAGUAUAAUCAGAAGUAAACGGCGGCUGUAACUCUGACGGUCCGAAGGUAGCAAAAUUCAUUGGCGGGUAAGUUCCGUCCUGCAUGAACGGUGUAACGACUGCCCCGCUGUCUCCAACUAUAAUCUAGUGAAGCUGAAAAGUAGGUGAAAAUGCCUCUUAAGAACAACGGGACGGAAAGACCCUGUGCACCUUUACUAGAACCUUAUAUUACUUUUGUGUUAAAAUACUUAAUAGUAAAAUUUAAAUUUUUAAAUUUGUUAUACUAUUUAUAUUUCAAUCAUUAGACUAGGGUACACCAUAUGCUGUACUUAAAAUUGUAAGGAUGCUAGUUUCACUGGGGCGGUGACCUCCUAAAAAGUAACGGGGGUGAACAAAAACUUUGUAAAACAUAUAUGCUAUGUGAUCAUUACAAUGAAUUAAACUUAGUUUGAUUAUUAAACUUAUAGGUUUAAUAAGGGUAAAAAAUUUACCUGUCAUAGUGACCCGAUACUUUAUAUUGAUAUAAGUAUCGAUAAGCAGAUAAAAGGUACGCCAGGGAUAACAGGCUAAUAACCCCCAAGAGUUCCCAUCGACGGGGUUGGUUGGCACCUCGAUGUCGGCUCAUCAUAUCCUGGUUGAGAAUAAUCUUCCAAGGGUCGGUCUGUUCUACCGUUAAAAUGGUACGUGAGCUGGGUUCAGAACGUCGUGAGACAGUUUGGCCCCUAUCUGUUGUUAAGCUGUAAAAAAUAAUAGGACACUGCUUUAGUACGAGAGGACUGAGAUGUAACGAUCACUGGUAGAACAAUUGUAAGGCAAAAUUGCAAGUUGUUAAGCUACAUCGUGAUAAGAUAAUUGCUGAACGAAUAUCAAGCAAGAAGCUUACCUAUGAAUUUUUUCUAAAAAUAUAUUAAAGAACAUAA
rnacentral:rRNA from 1 species